rnacentral:rRNA from 1 species
AACGAACGCUGGCGGCAGGCUUAACACAUGCAAGUCGAACGCUUGGGAGCGAUCCCUUGAGUGGCAGACGGGUGAGUAACGCGUGGGAACAUACCCUUCGGUACGGAACAACUUGGGGAAACUCGAGCUAAUACCGUAUGCGGCCUAUGGGCGAAAGAUUGUAUCGCCGAAGGAUUGGCCCGCGUCCGAUUAGCUAGUUGGUGGGGAACGGCCCGACCAAGGCGACGAUCGGUAGCUGGUCUGAGAGGAUGGCCAGCCACAUUGGGACUGAGACACGGCCCAAACUCCUACGGGAGGCAGCAGUGGGGAAUAUUGGACAAUGGGCGGCAAGCCUGAUCCAGCCAUGCCGCGUGAGUGAUGAAGGCCUUAGGGUUGUAAAGCUCUUUCGCACGCGACGAUAAUGACGGUAGCGUGAGAAGAAA